rnacentral:rRNA from 1 species
GACGUAGGGCGCGAGCGUUGUCCGGAUUUAUUGGGCGUAAAGAGCUCGUAGGCGGCUUGUCGCGUCGACUGUGAAAUCCCGCGGCUCAACUGCGGGUCUGCAGUCGAUACGGGCAGGCUAGAGUUCGGUAGGGGAGACUGGAAUUCCUGGUGUAGCGGUGAAAUGCGCAGAUAUCAGGAGGAACACCGGCGGCGAAGGCGGGUCUCUGGGCCAUAACUGACGCUGAGGAGCGAAAGCGUGGGGAGCGAACAGG